rnacentral:rRNA from 1 species
UACAGAGGUCUCAAGCGUUGUUCGGAUUUACUGGGCGUAAAGGGCGCGUAGGCGGCCACUGCAAGUCAGUUGUGAAAUCUCCGGGCUUAACCCGGAAAGGUCAACUGAUACUGCAGGGCUAGAGUGCGGAAGGGGCAACUGGAAUUCUCGGUGUAGCGGUGAAAUGCGUAGAUAUCGAGAGGAACACCUGCGGCGAAGGCGGGUUGCUGGGCUGACACUGACGCUGAGGCGCGAAAGCCAGGGGAGCGAACGGG